CGUGUAGGCGGCUUGGUAAGUCGGGAGUGAAAUCCCACGGCUCAACCGUGGAAUAGCUCUCGAUACUGCCUGGCUUGAGUACGGGAGAGGAAAGCGGAAUUCCCAGUGUAGAGGUGAAAUUCGUAGAUAUUGGGAAGAACACCGGUGGCGAAGGCGGCUUUCUGGACCGAUACUGACGCUGAGACGCGAAAGCGUGGGGAGCAAACAGGAUUAGAUACCCUGGUAGUCCACGCUGUAAACGGUGAGUGCUAGGUGUAGAGGGUAUCGACCCCUUCUGUGCCGCAGCUAACGCAUUAAGCACUCCGCCUGGGGACUACGGCCGCAAGGUUAAA
rnacentral:rRNA from 1 species